rnacentral:rRNA from 1 species
UACGUAGGGUGCAAGCGUUAAUCGGAAUUACUGGGCGUAAAGCGUGCGCAGGCGGUUUUGUAAGACAGAUGUGAAAUGCCCGGGCUUAACCUGGGAACUGUAUUUGUGACUGCAAGGCUAGAGUUUGGCAGAGGGGGGUAGAAUUCCACGUGUAGCAGUGAAAUGCGUAGAUAUGUGGAGGAAUACCGAUGGCGAAGGCAGCCCCCUGGGUCAAGACUGACGCUCAUGCACGAAAGCGUGGGGAGCAAACAGG